rnacentral:pre_miRNA from 1 species
GGUGGAAUUUCUGGGUCAAAUGGUCACUCUAAUCUUUUGAGAAACUCCCAAACUGCUUUCUACGGCAGCCAAAUCAUUUUAUAUUCCUGCCAGCAAU